rnacentral:rRNA from 1 species
CCCUUAGAUGUUCUGGGCCGCACACGCGCUACACUGAAGGAGGCAGCGUGUACUCCUGGAUCGAAAGAUUUGGGUAACCCGCGAAUCUCCUUCGUGCUAGGGAUUGAGGUUUGCAAUUAUCCUUCAUGAACGAGGAAUUCCCAGUAAGUGCAAGUCAUAAGCUUGCGCUGACUACUUCCCUGCCCUUUGUACACACCGCCCGUCGCUACUACCGAUUGAAUGAUUUAGUGAGGACUUCGGACUGGGACCGAUGCGGCUUUCGGGCUGCGUCGGUAUUCUGGAAAGAUGUCCAAACUGUAUCAUUUAGAGGAAGUAAAAGUCGUAACA